rnacentral:misc_RNA from 1 species
GAAGUCGUUACUCCAACCCUCGGGAGGAGGACGUCGAAGGUGGGGCUGAUGACUGGGGUGAAGUCGUAACAAAGGUAUCCGUACCGGAAGGUGCGGAUGGAUCACCUCCUAACAGGGAGACAAACAACGAUUUUGAUGUCUGAGUAAUUUAUUCUUAGGCCGAAAUCCUGUCACCUUAGGUCGAUCGGUACCUCAGCGUUGAAGCAACAGAGUUAACAGAGAUGUUGAUGCGUGUUGUGGAGAUGAUCAGUUCCUAAACUUUGUCUAGGUCACACCCCACAAGGGUUGAGUUUUCCUGGGCCAUUAGCUCAGGUGGUUAGAGCGCACCCCUGAUAAGGGUGAGGUCCCUGGUUCAAGUCCAGGAUGGCCCAUUCGGUGUCGGGGGUUUAGCUCAGUUGGUAGAGCGCCUGCUUUGCAAGCAGGAUGUCAGGAGUUCGAGCCUCCUAACCUCCACUGACCGAACUCAAUCUCCGGUUUUGCAUUGAAAGAUGGAGAACCACUCGAUUGUGAAGUGUGAUUUAGAUGUGUCCGCUGGAUGACCCCAGCUUCCUGUCAUUCCAAAUUUAAGUAAAGGAUUUUACUUAAAUGAAUUUGGUUGAUAAGAUGCUGGGCUCGAGUUCAGUGAUCAAGAGAUUGAUCAUUGGAUUUGAAGUUCUGGCAGAACCUCGACAACUGCAUAGGUAAGUCUGGAAAAACAAAGCAUCUUACAGAUGCAUUGUUUUGAAUCUGAUCUUCUGAAAGGGAGAUUAGAUCUAGAACAAUGAAAAUUCUUUUGAGCAAGAGCCGAGACUCUUGAGCGUUCUUUGAUUCGUGUCGAGCGAAUCAGAGUUUGAUCUUGUUUUAGGAAUCAGCGAAAGUUGAUGAUUAAAACUUGAGAAUCUGCUUUCAACGGCGGUAAGCGUUCAGGAGAUUAAUUGGUCAAGCUACAAAGGGCUCACGGCGGAUACCUUGGCACACAGAGGCGAUGAA